rnacentral:rRNA from 1 species
CGCCCGUCGCUCCUACCGAUUGGGUGUGCUGGUGAAGCGUUCGGAUUGGCGACAGCGUGCGGUUCUCCGCCUGCUGCUGUUGAAAAGUUCGUUAAACCCUCCCACCUAGAGGAAGGAGAAGUCGUAACAAGGUUUCC